AGAUAAUGUGGCUGAAACAGCACUAAACUGUAAAUUUAGUAAUAGGUUAAAAUCCUCUUUAUCUU
rnacentral:tRNA from 1 species